AACCUCCGCAAUGUGAGAAAUCGCGACGGGGGGAUCCCAAGUGCCAUUCUUAACGGGAUGGCUUUUCUUAAGUGUAAAAAGCUUUUGGAAUAAGAGCUGGGCAAGACCGGUGCCAGCCGCCGCGGUAACACCGGCAGCUCUAGUGGUAGCUGUUUUUAUUGGGCCUAAAGCGUUCGUAGCCGGUUUGAUAAGUCACUGGUGAAAUCCUGUAGCUUAACUGUGGGAAUUGCUGGUGAUACUGUUGAACUUGAGGUCGGGAGAGGUUAGCGGUACUCCCAGGGUAGAGGUGAAAUUCUGUAAUCCUGGGAGGACCACCUGUGGCGAAGGCGGCUAACUGGAACGAACCUGACGGUGAGGGACGAAAGCUAGGGGCGCGAACCGGAUUAGAUACCCGGGUAGUCCUAGCCGUAAACGAUGCGGACUUGGUGUUGGGAUGGCUUUGAGCCGCUCCGGUGCCGAAGGGAGCUGUUAAGUCCGCCGCCUGGGAAGUACGGUCGCAAGACUGAAACUUAAAGGAAUU
rnacentral:rRNA from 1 species